UCAAUAAGCGGAGGAAAAGAAACCAACAGGGNUNGCCCCAGUAACGGCGAGUGAAGCGGCACCAGCUCAAAUUUGAAAUCUGGCCACCCCCCCCCCGGGGGGCGGUCCGAGUUGUGCUUUGGAGAGGAUGCUUCGGGCGCGGCGCCGGCCGAGUUCCCUGGAACGGGACGCCAGAGAGGGUGAGAGCCCCGUACGGGCGGCCGCCGUGCCUAUGUGAAGCUCCUUCGACGAGUCGAGUAGUUUGGGAAUGCUGCUCAAAGCGGGAGGUAAAUUCCUUCUAAAGCUAAAUACCGGCCAGAGACCGAUAGCGCACAAGUAGAGUGAUCGAAAGAUGAAAAGCACUUUGAAAAGAGGGUCAAACAGCACGUGAAAUUGUUGAAAGGGAAGCGCCUGUGGCCAGACUUGCGCCCCACCGCCCACCCUGCGCUGCGGCGCGGGGGCGUGCGCGUGGGGCGCGGGCCAGCAUCGGCUCGCCUGGGGGGACAAAGGCAGCGGGAACGUGGCGCUCUCCGGGGCGUGUUAUAGCCCGCUGCGGAAUGCCCCUGGGUGGGCCGAGGACCGCGCUUCGGCAAGGAUGCUGGCGUAAUGGCCACCGGCGACCCGUCUUGAAACACGGACCAAGGAGUCAAGCAUUGGGGCGAGUGUCCGGGUGGCAAGCCCGCACGCGCAGUGAAAGCAAACGCAGGUGGGAGCUUCGGCGCACCACCGACCGAUCCUGAUGUCUUCGGAUGGAUUUGAGUAGGAGCCCCGCCGCUUGGACCCGAAAGAUGGUGAACUAUGCCUGUAUAGGGCGAAGCCAGAGGAAACUCUGGUGGAGGCUCGCAGCGGUUCUGACGUGCAAAUCGAUCGUCGAAUAUGGGCAUGGGGGCGAAAGACUAAUCGAACCAUCUAGUA
rnacentral:rRNA from 1 species